rnacentral:rRNA from 1 species
GACGAACGCUGGCGGCGUGCCUAAUACAUGCAAGUCGAACGCAGUGGGGACGGGUGAGUAACACGUGGGUAACCUCCCAUCAGAGGGGAUAACACUUGGAAACAGGUGCUAAACCGAUACUGAUGGAUGAACCCGCGGUGCAUUAGCUAGUUGGGGAGGUACCGGCUCACCAAGGCCACGAUGCAGAGCCGACCUGCGAGGGUGAUCGUCCACAGUGGGACUGGGACGCGGCCCAGACUCGUACGGGAGGCAUCAGUAGGGAAUCUUCGGCAAUGUACGAAAGUCUGACCUAGCAACGCGGCGUGAGUGAAGAGGGUUUUCGGAUCGUAAACCUCUGUUGUUAGAGAAGCGGUAUCUAACCAGAAAGCCACGGCUAACUACGUGCCAGCAGCCGCGGUAAUAC